CUGCUUCCCGCCGGCGGGCCCGGGGCGGGGCGGACCCGUCCCCGUCCCGGUCCCCGUCCCCGUCCCCAUCCCCAUCCCCAUCCCCACGUCCCAUCCCCCACGCAGCCUUCGCCCUCCCUGCUCCUUCCCGCGCCGUCUUCCCUUCCCGCGUUCCCCGGGAGAAACAUGGCCGGGAGCAGCGAGGAGGCGCCAGACUACGGGCGAGGCGUCGUGAUUAUGGACGAUUGGCCAGGGUAUGACUUGAAUUUAUUCACGUACCCACAGCACUAUUAUGGAGACUUGGAAUAUGUCCUCAUCCCUCAUGGCAUCAUUGUGGACAGAAUUGAGCGGCUGGCCAAGGAUAUUAUGAAAGACAUAGGAUAUAGUGACAUCAUGGUCCUGUGUGUGCUUAAAGGAGGUUACAAAUUCUGUGCUGAUCUUGUAGAACACCUUAAGAACAUCAGCCGAAAUUCAGAUCGAUUUGUCUCAAUGAAGGUUGAUUUCAUCAGACUAAAAAGUUACAGGAAUGACCAGUCCAUGGGUGAGAUGCAGAUAAUCGGAGGCGAUGAUCUUUCAACGCUGGCUGGAAAGAAUGUUCUCAUUGUUGAGAGAGAAAAGAGAACGUGGGAUCCCUAUGGCAGUAGUGGACUAAUACAGCAAAUGGCCACGUUUCCUUCAGGAGCACGCUUGUCUCAUCAAACAGCAAAAAAUUCAGGGGAGCUGUUUUCAACCUUUUGUUACACAAUUGCCUGUGUGCGCCAUGUGCAUCUGGAGUUCUUGCUCAGUAUAACCCAUGGAGUAGACCCUCUAACCAAAUGAAUUGCCCAACCCUGGCUACAUUCAGACCUGUUGUUUUGAUAAUCAGCUCAUGACAGCUGAUUCCUGUCCUUAGGACAAUAAAUCGCCGCUGCCUAUUCUCCUCUAAUUGUGCAGCAGCUCAUCAGCAGAGAUGAGCCCGAGCUCACUGCAGCCGUGGACCCUCAGAAUUCACAGGCUGUCACCAGCUGCUGUCCAGACACCUCUCACUUCCCAGCCAUAGAAUCCCCCAUUGAGUGGGGGAGGACAAGGGGGAGGUUUUUAUCCAUUCAGUGUAUUCAGAUGUACAUAUCCAUGAAAAUUCAUGUGCCUUGUAUUGUGUUACAUAACCUCAGGGCCAAAUUUAGUUCUUGAAUGUGCAUACACCAGUCCAAGUGUACUCAACGAGGAGUCCUACAUGCUGUCCAAAGACUAAAUUUGGCCUUUCAACACAGCUAAAGGAUUCAAGGAGGAAAGAGUCUCCAGUAGAUUCCCCAAAACUCAGCUUCCAGAAAGAAGUGGCUGUCUAAAUAAAACAUAACCAACUCUUCCUCCUACUGUGGCUCCAAAUUGGAUGGCAUUUUUAAUUACGAUGCAUUAUUAAUCAGGAGUAUCUCCCUGGGUGAAAAGUCUAUUGUGCUGCUCAAAUGCAUUUUGUUGAAUUUAUCUGUCCUUUUUGCAAAGGAUGUUGUCGGAACUGGGAGGACCAUGAAAGCACUACUCAGCAAUAUAGAGAAAUACAAGCCCAACAUGAUUAAGGUAGCCAGUUUGUUGGUGAAGAGAACAUCCAGAAGUGACGGCUUUAGACCUGACUAUGCUGGAUUUGAGAUUCCAAACUUAUUUGUGGUGGGAUAUGCCUUAGAUUACAAUGAAUACUUCAGAGAUCUGAAUCACAUAUGCGUCAUCAAUGAGCACGGUAAAGAAAAAUAUCGAGUCUAAAGACAUGAAUUCUCACCACUAAAGUCCCAGAUAGCAUCAUAUUUACGCCUGUACUUGGGAAGCCAGCUGUCAAGUUUGUCCCCUCAGGCAUCUUCACUCCAGGAUAUAAAAGAAAAAAAUGUUCAAAUGAGAGAGCUUUCUUUUCUGAGGUUAAUAUAAAGAGUAUCAAAGGUUCCUAAGGAAAAGAAAGCAGUGCUUUUAUUUGACUUGUUCCAAAUUAAACACUCCGCCUUGUGACUCAGCAAUGCUAUCUACCUUCACACUCCUGAGCUCCGCCUUCCUUUGUUUUGAUACAGUCAUUAUAUUUGAUUAGUAUUCCCAGGAAUACCCCCACCUAGUUACUCAAAUAUUUUUCACUUAACUUUUUGUACUCUUAUUUUGGUAAUAAGCUUACAAUAUUAAGAAGCUGGGGACUUUUUUUUAACUGAAGCCUUGAGUCCCGUAUACCGGGAAUGCAGCUAUUAAUAGAUUCCCAUAUUUUAAAAGGAGGGAAAGGACAAUUUAAUAUAAAUUUCUGUUUGUGCAUUUCUGACAGGCCAUUAUUAUCUGCUUUGACAAAGCCUUUCUGAAACGCAGUGUACAAUGAAUCUUAAUGAUGUUAUGAAACGAGCUUUGCUCGGGGCUCUUGACUGGAGCUUCCGGUAUGUGAUGACGGUAUGUCAUGUAUGCAUGGAUGUACUCAACUGUGUUUAAUACUCUGAAUUUUAAUUAGAAAAAAAUACAAUAGCAGCAAGGCCCUGGUUUCUAAGCUGUAUCCUUUUAUUCAUGUGGGACAUGAGCAAAUGGCAGAAUUAGGGGCGAGUGCUUUCAAUGCUCGAAACUAAGCAAGUAUAAAUUUUUCCUCUUAUUUGCAUGAAAGGACAAGACACUGUUAUGCCCUGUCCUAAAUGUGAAGACAGAGGUUGAAUUUUUAAAAAAAAAUCUUUAAAAGACUGAUCACAAAAUCCAAGGUGCUACAGGAAACAAGCACACUCAAGAAAGUUUUUUUCUGAAUAACAUUUUUUUCCAAAUUCUCCGUUUUAUGAGACAUUUCCUAAUUUAUGGGGAUUUUAAUUGAAAAUAAACUUGAGUCCCAAUAGAGCUGUUUUUUUCUCACUUCCUACAAAAUGCAAAUGCAAAAUAAAUAACUAAGCAGCUUUUGUUUGG